GACGAACGCUGGCGGCGUGCUUAACACAUGCAAGUCGAACGGAAAGGCCCUGCUUUUGUGGGGUGCUCGAGUGGCGAACGGGUGAGUAACACGUGAGUAACCUGCCCUUGACUUUGGGAUAACUUCAGGAAACUGGGGCUAAUACCGGAUAGGAGCUCCUGCUGCAUGGUGGGGGUUGGAAAGUUUCGGCGGUUGGGGAUGGACUCGCGGCUUAUCAGCUUGUUGGUGGGGUAGUGGCUUACCAAGGCUUUGACGGGUAGCCGGCCUGAGAGGGUGACCGGCGACAUUGGGACUGAGAUACGGCCCAGUCUCCUACGGGAGGCAGCAGUGGGGAAUAUUACACAAUGGGCGGGGGCCUGAUGCAGCAACGCCGCGUGCGGGAUGACGGCCUUCGGGUGGUGAACCGCUUUCGCCUGUGACGAAGCGUGAGUGACGGUAAUGGGUAAAGAAGCACCGGCUAACUACGUG
rnacentral:rRNA from 1 species